GGGCCGUGAUGAUAGAGAUCAUGCACCACUCUGAUUUUCAGUGCUGAUAAUUUUCUCAAACCCAUUAUUUUUUCUGAGCCC
rnacentral:snoRNA from 1 species